ACAUGCGAGUCGAGGGGCAGCAUGGUCUUAGCUUGCUAAGGCCGAUGGCGACCGGCGCACGGGUGAGUAACACGUAUCCAACCUGCCGUCUACUCUUGGACAGCCUUCUGAAAGGAAGAUUAAUACAAGAUGGCAUCAUGAGUCCGCAUGUUCACAUGAUUAAAGGUAUUCCGGUAGACGAUGGGGAUGCGUUCCAUUAGAUAGUAGGCGGGGUAACGGCCCACCUAGUCUUCGAUGGAUAGGGGUUCUGAGAGGAAGGUCCCCCACAUUGGAACUGAGACACGGUCCAAACUCCUACGGGAGGCAGCAGUGAGGAAUAUUGGUCAAUGGGCGAGAGCCUGAACCAGCCAAGUAGCGUGAAGGAUGACUGCCCUAUGGGUUGUAAACUUCUUUUAUAAAGGAAUAAAGUCGGGUAUGCAUACCCGUUUGCAUGUACUUUAUGAAUAAGGAUCGGCUAACUCCGUGCCAGCAGCCGCGGUAAUACGGAGGAUCCGAGCGUUAUCCGGAUUUAUUGGGUUUAAAGGGAGCGUAGAUGGAUGUUUAAGUCAGUUGUGAAAGUUUGCGGCUCAACCGUAAAAAUUGCAGUUGAUACUGGAUAUCUUGAGUGCAGCUGAGGCAGGCGGAAUUCGUGGUGUAGCGUUGAAAUGCUUAGAUAUCACGAAGAACUCCGAUUGCGAAGGCAGCUUGCUAAGCUGCAACUGACAUUGAGGCUCGAAAGUGUGGGUAUCAAACAGGAUUAGAUACCCUGGUAGUCCACACGGUAAACGAUGAAUACUCGCUGUUUGCGAUAUACGGCAAGCGGCCAAGCGAAAGCGUUAAGUAUUCCACCUGGGGAGUACGCCGGCAACGGUGAAACUCAAAGGAAUUGACGGGGGCCCGCACAAGCGGAGGAACAUGUGGUUUAAUUCGAUGAUACGCGAGGAACCUUACCCGGGCUUAAAUUGCAGAUGAAUUACGGUGAAAGCCGUAAGCCGCAAGGCAUCUGUGAAGGUGCUGCAUGGUUGUCGUCAGCUCGUGCCGUGAGGUGUCGGCUUAAGUGCCAUAACGAGCGCAACCCUUGUUGUCAGUUACUAACAGGUUCCGCUGAGGACUCUGACAAGACUGCCAUCGUAAGAUGUGAGGAAGGUGGGGAUGACGUCAAAUCAGCACGGCCCUUACGUCCGGGGCUACACACGUGUUACAAUGGGGGGUACAGAGGGCCGCUACCACGCGAGUGGAUGCCAAUCCCAAAAACCUCUCUCAGUUCGGACUGGAGUCUGCAACCCGACUCCACGAAGCUGGAUUCGCUAGUAAUCGCGCAUCAGCCACGGCGCGGUGAAUACGUUCCCGGGCCUUGUACACACCGCCCGUCAAGCCAUGGGAGCCGGGGGUACCUGAAGUGCGUAACCGCGAGGAGCGCCCUAGGGUAAAACUGGUGACUGGGGCUAAGUCGU
rnacentral:rRNA from 1 species